UCCGAGUUGACCCCGGCAGUCUCCCAUGAGUCCCCGCCAUUACGCGCUGGCAACAUGGAACGAGGGUUGCGCUCGUUGCGGGACUUAACCCAACAUCUCACGACACGAGCUGACGACAACCAUGCACCACCUGUGAACCGGCCCCAAAGGGGAAACCACAUUUCUGCGGCGGUCCGGUCCAUGUCAAGCCUUGGUAAGGUGGGGAUGACGUCAAGGUACGGAC
rnacentral:misc_RNA from 1 species